rnacentral:rRNA from 1 species
GACGAACGCUGGCGGCGUGCCUAAUACAUGCAAGUAGAACGCUGAAGGAGGAGCUUACUUCUCUGGAUGAGUUGCGAACGGGUGAGUAACGCGUAGGUAACCUGCCUGGUAGCGGGGGAUAACUAUUGGAAACGAUAGCUAAUACCGCAUAAGAGUAGAUGUUGCAUGACAUUCACUAAAAAGGUGCAAUUGCACCACUACCAGAUGGACCUGCGUUGUAUUAGCUAGUUGGUGGGGUAACGGCUUACCAAGGCGACGAUACAUAGCCGACCUGGGAGGGUGAUCGGCCACACUGGGACUGAGACACGGCCCAGACUCCUACGGGAGGCAGCAGUAGGGAAUCUUCGGCAAUGGACGGAAGUCUGACCGAGCAACGCCGCGUGAGUGAAGAAGGUUUCGGAUCGUAAAGCUCUGUUGUAAGAGAAGAACGAGUGUGAGAGUGGAAAGUUCACACUGUGACGGUAUCUUACCAGAAAGGGACGGCUAACUACGUGCCAGCCGCCGCCGUAA